GGGGAGGUGGUUCAGUGGUAGAAUGCUUGCCUUGUAUGCAUGAGGCCCUGGGUU
rnacentral:tRNA from 1 species